rnacentral:lncRNA from 1 species
GGCGCUGUCGUGUACCCUUAACAGGUAUCUGCUCCUCAUGGCGCAGGAGCAUCUGGAGUUCCGCCUGCCGGUGAGUCCGUAGCGCCCUCCGGAACUUCCGACGGAAGAGGACGCUGGAGUGGAGUGGAGUGGGUGGAGGUGAUCUGCAUAGCCCGAGGAAGCUGGGAUUCGGGGGUCUUCGCUGGUCUGCGCGGGUCACGCGUCCCCAGUCCUCGGGCGGGGAAAUAAAGUCUUUGCUUUUGCUUUUUGGAGGUCAGUUUGCCAGCAGUCAAGAAACUUAUGGAAAGUCACCAUUUUGGAUUCUUAGCAUUCCCUCUGAAGAUAUUGCAAGAAAUUUGAUGAAACGGACAGUGUGUGCCAAGUCUAUAUUUGAACUAUGGGGUCAUGGACAAUCUCCUGAGGAGCUGUACAGUUCUCUUAAAAACUACCCUGUGGAGAAGAUGGUUCCAUUUCUACAUUCGGACUCUACAUAUAAAAUAAAGAUUCACACUUUUAAUAAGACAUUGACACAAGAAGAGAAAAUCAAGCGAAUAGAUGCACUUGAAUUUCUGCCAUUUGAAGGAAAAGUGAAUUUAAAGAAACCGCAACAUGUAUUUUCUGUUUUGGAGGAUUAUGGU